rnacentral:rRNA from 1 species
UACGUAGGGCGCAAGCGUUGUCCGGAAUUAUUGGGCGUAAAGGGCUCGUAGGCGGUUCGUCACGUCGGGAGUGAAAACUCGGAGCUUAACUCCGAGCCUGCUUCCGAUACGGGCAGACUAGAGGUAGGCAGGGGAGAGCGGAACUCCUGGUGUAGCGGUGGAAUGCGCAGAUAUCAGGAAGAACACCGGUGGCGAAGGCGGCUCUCUGGGCCUUACCUGACGCUGAGGAGCGAAAGCGUGGGUAGCGAACAGG